rnacentral:lncRNA from 10 species
GAAAAAGAAGGAACUAUUUGGAAACUGGGACACAAUUGAAAACACUGGCUACAUCACCAAGGCUGGAAUGUUAUAUUGAUUGGAAUGUUAUAUUUUCUAAUACGACCAGACAGCUUAAGGAACUAAAAUUGACUUUGAAGAGCCUGGGAAGACAGCUUGGAAAACUGUUUCAAACCUUACCAAUGAGAAAGGAAUGUCACUUCCUGACAAGUCCAGAAAUCUUAGAUAUUUGGGGGACCUCAAGAAAAGAGGAAUUUGCCAAAUCUAUAAGUGUUACAGAUGAAACCUGUUGGCAAGUCCUUGGCCUGGCUUCCUUACCUUCAGAGGCUUCUACCAGUUCAAUCUGAGAUUCCUUUUAUUUUCUUUUUUGAGACGGAGUCUCGCUCUGUCCCCCAGGCUGGAGUGCA